UGGCUCAGAUUGAACGCUGGCGGCAGGCCUAACACAUGCAAGUCGGACGGUAGCACAGAGAGCUUGCUCUUGGGUGACGAGUGGCGGACGGGUGAGUAAUGUCUGGGGAUCUGCCCGAUAGAGGGGGAUAACCACUGGAAACGGUGGCUAAUACCGCAUAACGUCGCAAGACCAAAGAGGGGGACCUUCGGGCCUCUCACUAUCGGAUGAACCCAGAUGGGAUUAGCUAGUAGGCGGGGUAAUGGCCCACCUAGGCGACGAUCCCUAGCUGGUCUGAGAGGAUGACCAGCCACACUGGAACUGAGACACGGUCCAGACUCCUACGGGAGGCAGCAGUGGGGAAUAUUGCACAAUGGGCGCAAGCCUGAUGCAGCCAUGCCGCGUGUAUGAAGAAGGCCUUCGGGUUGUAAAGUACUUUCAGCGGGGAGGAAGGCGGUGAGGUUAAUAACCUUACCGAUUGACGUUACCCGCAGAAGAAGCACCGGCUAACUCCGUGCCAGCA
rnacentral:rRNA from 1 species